rnacentral:rRNA from 1 species
UACGUAGGGUGCAAGCGUUAAUCGGAAUUACUGGGCGUAAAGCGUGCGCAGGCGGUUCGCUAAGACCGAUGUGAAAUCCCCGGGCUUAACCUGGGAACUGCAUUGGUGACUGGCGGGCUAGAGUAUGGCAGAGGGGGGUAGAAUUCCACGUGUAGCGGUGAAAUGCGUAGAUAUGUGGAGGAAUACCGAUGGCGAAGGCAGCCUCCUGGGCCAACACUGACGCUCAUGCACGAAAGCGUGGGGAGCAAACAGG